UAAGAAUACGUUGUACGGUCCUUAUUUCCGGUUGCGGAUCCGGAGGAGGUGUGUGCUAACGAGUGUUAGCCGUUUGUGCUUCCAGCGGGCGUUCAAGUCAAAAAGCCAGGCACGGUGGCUUCAUGUGAUUGUUUUAAAUGAUGCCCAUCCUACUGCAGGACCACGGACGGUCCAUCACUCAGAUUAAAUACAACGGAGGAGACCUUCCAAUCAAGCAGUAGCACACCUGAGUUGAGAGGUUUAAUCAACUGGUCUCAGUCUUCAGAAACUAUGUGCUCUUGGUUGGUUGGAACAAAAACCUGCAGCCACAUGGCCCUUUGAGGAAUAGUUUGGGCAUGCCUGGUCUAAGUGGAGCUACAAAUGGCAGCACGACUCGCAGAGUCGAGUAGCAGAGUGGAACGACUCGUUACCUAAAACGGACACAUGGGAGCUGUGUGGUUCUUCGACUGUGACUGGGACACCAAAAAUAUUUUGACAGGAUCAGCUGUCGACUGUGGGACUGCGAGACCGGAGGGUGAAAAGAAAAUGCAUGCGUUCAGAUAGAUGGAACCUUCUGUGAAUCCCUUGGGAGUUCAGCAGCAAAACAACAAUAAAAAUGCAGGAGUAGCAGCACACUGUCUUAUGAAUAUGGGAAAUCUGAACAGUGGAUGUUGGUAGAUUAGUAG